rnacentral:rRNA from 1 species
UACGAAGGGGGCUAGCGUUGCUCGGAAUCACUGGGCGUAAAGGGUGCGUAGGCGGGUCUUUAAGUCAGGGGUGAAAUCCUGGAGCUCAACUCCAGAACUGCCUUUGAUACUGAGGAUCUUGAGUUCGGGAGAGGUGAGUGGAACUGCGAGUGUAGAGGUGAAAUUCGUAGAUAUUCGCAAGAACACCAGUGGCGAAGGCGGCUCACCGGCCCGGUACUGACGCUGAGGUGCGAAAGCGUGGGGAGCAAACAGG